rnacentral:rRNA from 1 species
GACAGAGGGUGCAAACGUUGUUCGGAAUUACUGGGCGUAAAGCGUGUGUAGGCGGCUAGACAAGUCGGAUGUGAAAGCCCCGGGCUCAACCCGGGAAGUGCACCCGAUACUGUCUAGCUAGAGUAUCGGAGAGGUUGGUGGAAUUCUCGGUGUAGAGGUGAAAUUCGUAGAUAUCGAGAGGAACAUCGGUGGCGAAGGCGGCCAACUGGACGAAUACUGACGCUGAGACACGAAAGCGUGGGGAGCAAACAGG